CGCGCUUGUACGGCUUUGGCU
rnacentral:snRNA from 1 species